rnacentral:rRNA from 1 species
GACGAACGCUGGCGGCGCGCUUAACACAUGCAAGUCGAACGGAAAGGCCUGCUUUCCCUUGUGGAUUGCGGGUACUCGAGUGGCGAACGGGUGAGUAACACGUGAGUGAUCUGCCCCCAACUUGGGUAUAAGCCUGGGAAACUGGGUCUAAUUCCCGAUAGGACUGCAGGGUGGUGCCUGUGGUGGAAAACGAUUUUCUAGUGGUUGGGGAUGAGCUCGCGGCCUAUCAGCUUGUUGGUGGGGUAAUGGCCUACCAAGGCGGCGACGGGUAGCCGGCCUGAGAGGGUGGACGGCCACAUUGGGACUGAGAUACGGCCCAGACGCCUACGGGAGGCAGCAGUGGGGAAGAUUGCACAAUGGGCGGAAGCCUGAUGCAGCGACGCCGCGUGGGGGAUGACGGCAUUCGGGUUGUAAACUCCUUUCGACCGCGAGGAAGCCACCUGGUUGGAAGGGUGGUGACGGUAGUGGUAGAAGAAGCACCGGCUAACUACGUG